CCCGAGUAGAUUUUCUCCGGGCCAAAACCUAAUCCGCGACCGUGAUCGAUUUGGAGAUGCCGCCAGAGUACCACAGGGAUUGAAGGAUAGAUCAAAUUACCCUAUCUUUUGAGUACCUUUUCGUAGAGGAGAUAAGCUUGUCAACCACCGCCCCCUUUUGAAAAUUGUGGUUUGAAAUUGGUAGCC